CUCAGAAGCAGGCAGCAAGGGUGGGUCCAGCAAAUAAAAAACAUCCAGAACUCGGUCCGUCGUCUACUCUCCCGUUCCCCUCUCUCUCCGCGUGUUUCUCCCUCACUCCGCGCCGCCGUCCGUCUCUCGCAAGCGCCGCCGGUUGCGGGCCUCCCCCACCCCUCAGUCUGCACAGAUGAGAUCCCCCCGCACCACACCGCACCUCUCUCAGAUCGAGUUCCCCUUCGUUUAAAUCGAGUUCUACACGGGAGAGGGGGGGGAUCUGUCGCGACCUUCCUUGGCUGCCUCCAUGGGCUGCCGCCGCGGUGGCCCUCUUCCCCAACCCCCAUCCCGGUGAUGGCAUUGUACAUGGCAUGGGAGGGUUGGAGAGUGGAGAAGGGCGCGAGGAGGGCGUCGCCAGGUUGAGCUCCGUGGUCGAGGGGCGGAGCAGCGGAGGUUUGGAUUGGGGCGGCGCUGGCGCCUUGAACCUUCUCUUUAAGUUCAGGAGCAGCAAUGGUGGUGGGAGUAGCAACCAUAUCGACGCAGGUGAGAGGAGAUGACAACGGAGAGAGAAUAUUGAUAUUUUAUUCAUAUGCCCGGUCCAUAUGGAUAUGGGUACCCAUAAGCAUAGACCAAAAGUAGUCCAUAGGCAAUAAACAAUGUAUUCAACCUAUCCUUGUACAUUGUGCAACCAAUCUAUAGGGUAGUCCAUAGCAAAAACUACCCAUAUGUAUUAAUCUCUCUCUCCCCACACUCUUUCUCUCCCCCAUGCCGCUCAAACAUUAGCUUGUAAGCUCAAUCAUGGAGCUCAGCUUACCACCUCCUUUUACUUUUAACAUUGUGCUAAUGAUAAGACUACUUUGUGUGGGUCCCAUCUAUAUGGACUACUUGUCCAUGUAGAUUGACCUUACCCUAAAGACUGGUUGCACAAUGUAUAUGGAUACCUUUAUGAUGUCAUAAGGAUCACUUUUGCAUAUA